UACGUAGGUGGCGAGCGUUGUCCGGAAUUACUGGGUGUAAAGGGAGCGUAGGCGGAGUGCAAGUUGAAUGUUAAAUCUAUCGGCUCAACCGAUAGCCGUGUUCAAAACUGCAUUUCUUGAGUGAAGUAGAGGUUGGCGGAAUUCCUAGUGUAGCGGUGAAAUGCGUAGAUAUUACACAGAACACCAAUUGCGUAGGCAGCUUACUGAGCCGACACUGACGCUGAGGCACGUAAGCGUGGGAGUCAAACAGGAUUAGAUACCCGGUA
rnacentral:rRNA from 1 species